AAAAUCUCAAGCUCAUCCCAGUGGAAGACGCCAUUUUUGACUAUCGGUUCUUUUGCGUCUAACCAUCUAACCGAUGGAUAAUUUAUUUUGUUAUUGGAGGCAAACAAUAAUUCGUAUUUCAAAUUUAAAUAAAGCCUUGCAGAAACGACAACCCAGAGAUACUUGAGGAUCAAGAUAUUGGUGCCCGUGAUAAAAAUCCUAGAAAAUGAAUGUUGGGAAAUGGUUUCCCCAUCGUACUGGAAUGGCCCCCAGUUUGGCGGUCAUCACAUCCAACGAGCCGGGCGUAGUAGUCAGCUAAGCACCAAUUGCACCGACUGUGGAUUGAAAACCGCUCUAUUAGUGGCCUCGAAAGAUCUCCAAGUUCUGGAGCAGUCACGAGCAGAUCAACGCGUCACUGCAUCUCCGCACGGCUAGCUGAACUGGACCGAAGAGGUGUGGAUAAAUUAUCAUAAACUUAAAAAUAUAAUUAAGCAAAAUUGAUUAACUUAAAAUUUAUAUUUAAUUCAAUAUAUACGCAUUAUGCUUCAAAUAACGAAUUUUGCAAAAUAUCGGAAGAUCAUACGAUACAGGUCAGAUAUUUGGAAAAAUUUGCAUAUCUGAAUGCAUUAUGCGUGAAUCUUUAACAUUCGAUAAUUUCAGAUAAAUACAUGUUUUCUGUAAAAUCCA